UGGGGAAUUUUGGACAAUGGGCGAGAGCCUGAUCCAGCAAUGCCGCGUGUGUGAAGAAGGCCUUCGGGUUGUAAAGCACUUUUGUCCGGAAAGAAAUCCUUGGCUCUAAUACAGUCGGGGGAUGACGGUACCGGAAGAAUAAGCACCGGCUAACUACGUGCCAGCAGCCGCGGUAAUACGUAGGGUGCAAGCGUUAAUCGGAAUUACUGGGCGUAAAGCGUGCGCAGGCGGUUUGCUAAGACCGAUGUGAAAUCCCCGGGCUCAACCUGGGAACUGCAUUGGUGACUGGCAGGCUAGAGUAUGGCAGAGGGGGGUAGAAUUCCACGUGUAGCAGUGAAAUGCGUAGAGAUGUGGAGGAAUACCGAUGGCGAAGGCAGCCCCCUGGGCCAAUACUGACGCUCAUGCACGAAAAGGCGUGGGGGAGCAAAACAGGAUUAGAUACCCUGGUAGUCCACGCCCUAAACGAUGUCAACUAGUUGUUGGGGAUUCAUUUCCUUAGUAACGUAGCUAACGCGUGAAGUUGACCGCCU
rnacentral:rRNA from 1 species